rnacentral:lncRNA from 1 species
GAUCCACAUGCCUUGGCCUCCCAAGUUGCUGCGAUUACAAGCGUGAGCUACUGUGCCUGGCCUAGGCUAAAUUCUAUUAUAAUAAAACAAGUUCAGCUCAGAUUAAAGGGGUAGAGAAGUAGAUUCUACCUCUUGAUGGGUGGGGUGGCAAAGUCACUUUGCAAAAGCAGGUGGACACAGGAUAUUGUAGUUCAUUGGGAGCCAUUAUAGUAAAAAUAUACCACAAUCUGCAUUCUCUCCCAGUAAUUCAAGUCCCUUCCCAAGACUCCCAAAGUCUCAUCCAGUUAUGGCAUCAUACUCAAAAUCCAUUAUUUUAUAAUCUGUCUGCAUUAGGUCCAAAAGCAGUAUGUGUUCUUCUUGACGCAGACACCAGAGAACUAAAAGAAGUUUGCUGCCCUCCUCACUUCCAUCCAACACACAAAGAAAUGUGCAGAAGUCACCAGAGAUCGAGAAGAAAGGACGUCUAAAAGUCACCACAGAAGAAUAUGACCUAACUAUAGAACAUAGCCAAUAGGAGAUCAUCCUUACAGCCCCAAAGGGCAGAAAAUGAAGUUGACUUAAUCAUCCACUUGUUAGCGCACCUUACUCUAUGAACUCAAAAUGCAGUGGAGAGAAAAGGGAUGGAAGAAAUUUGUUCAUAAUGAGCAAGCUAGGAAGACUGCUGCAAGGUGACUUGAAUUUUUUAAUUUAAAUAUUUUAGACAUAAAAAAGUAUUUGAGGGGUUGAUAGCUUUGGAAGUUAAAGGCUGCUAUCAGCCUGACAGAGCAGUUCAAAAAAACAGCUUGAGGAUACCAAUCAUUUGCUUAUCUUUAUUUUAGUUUCCAAAAUUUCAGAUGGACUUUGUGAAUUGAGACUCUUAGAAAACUGCCAGUUUCUAUGUUUUGAUUUUCGUGAAAAUCAGAACCAAAGAGGAAAAGGUAAGUGAUAAUAUUUUUGGUUUAAGAAAUUAAACCAAAGUGUCAUGGUGCUACUGAGGUGCAGUUUCACAUUCUUUUUUCAGAAGAUGAGCCAAUAACAAAAUGACUCUGUUUUAUAGAAUAUUAUUUUCAGUAUUAGAUAUUACUAAUUAAGUAUUACACAAAGCUGUUUAGCAGAAAAAAUGUGAUUUUUCAGACAGCAGAAGUUGAGGAAGUCUGAGUUUCUGCGUUUUGACACUGACUGGGUAGGAGUUUCUUUGUCUAUAGAACAGGGAUUUGUAGAGGAAGACCUGGCUGCCUUGGUGAGUUACACCCUCUAAUCGUGAGCAUGACGUUGUGUAAAAGGAAAAUUGUCUUUAUUCUUAGGAUUUUUUUUUUCUUUUUUACCUUGUAAUUUAGCAUUAAAAACAGGGAGAGAACAUGCCAGUCGGAAUGGCUAUUAUUAAAAUGUCAAAAAACAACAGAUGCUGGCGAGGUUGCAGAGAA